GGUUGGACCAGUACCAGUAGAAGCUUGAUUUGGAAGAAACCUUGACCCUCAGCAUGGAGGAGAAUGUGGACCCGUUUUCCUCAGAAGAACAGCUCAGCUUCUAGACGCACAUCGCCUCCAUCCACAACAUCAAGAUCUAUUGACAGGAUGACAUUUCCUCCGCGAGGCAGCCCGAGCCAUCUCGAGCACCCUGACAGGCAGCGGCAUUGUGGGAAGUCUCCGCCAAGCUCCUCUGGGACGAACCGCGCCCUGCCACUCACGCUGCCGCCCUCUGGCAAACGCGUGCAUACGCGCGCAGCGAUAAUGAAACGCCACGUGCUCCGUUCCGAUCGCAUGUUCGAGCGCGUCAAGAAAAAAACAAGUCCCAAAUACGAUGGGAGAGGUUUAUAACGGAGACGGAGGCACAGGCGCUUUUUCAUCGCUGUUACCAAGAGUUAAAUAAAGCAGGAACGCUGGAACGAUAAAAGACAUUAAACUGAAACAGAGAGAGAGAGAGAAGGAAAAAGAGGUGUAUAAAAGCUAGUGCAGCUAUUUACUCAAUCGUUUCAGGAUUACUGUUAGUACAUUGGCUACACAUUUAACUAUAUUUUUGUGUGUGUGUGUGGGGGGUGCAGCGAGUGAGAAAAAGAAGGGAGAGAACGAGUGAGUAUAAAAGGGAGCACAGGAUGAUGAAAGAAAGGCAAUAAGCAAAUGAGAAAGAUGGAAAGAAAGACGGGGUGGCAGAGAAAAAGUGAGAGAAAGAGGGACAGACAGUGAGAAAGAGACAAAAAGAAUGAAUGAGUAUGAAAGGGAGAACAGGGUAAUAUGAGAGAGAGAGAGAGAGAGGUAA